CCGACCUUGGCGCAGUUGGUUUAGCGCAUGGCGCUGUAAAGGCUUGUGGUACGCCGGGGUCCCGUGUUCAAAUCACGGAGGUCGGA